GACGAACGCUGGCGGCGUGCUUAACACAUGCCAGUCGAACGGUGAUGCUCCAGCUUGCUGGAGUGGAUCAGUGGCGAACGGGUGAGUAACACGUGAGCAACCUGCCCCAGACUCUGGAAUAAGCGCUGGAAACGGCGUCUAAUACUGGAUACGAAACUGGCCCGCAUGGGCAUGGUUUGGAAAGUUUUUCGGUUUGGGAUGGGCUCGCGGCCUAUCAGCUUGUUGGUGAGGUAAUGGCUCACCAAGGCGACGACGGGUAGCCGGCCUGAGAGGGCGACCGGCCACACUGGGACUGAGACACGGCCCAGACUCCUACGGGAGGCAGCAGUGGGGAAUAUUGCACAAUGGGCGGAAGCCUGAUGCAGCGACGCCGCGUGAGGGAUGACGGCCUUCGGGUUGUAAACCUCUUUCAGCAGGGAAGAAGCGAAAGUGACGGUACCUGCAGAAGAAGCACCGGCUAACUACGUG
rnacentral:rRNA from 1 species